rnacentral:lncRNA from 1 species
CCUAUAGGACAGAGAGGGAAACAAGCUCUACACUCUCACUAGCAAACUCAAAGAUCCAGGACUUCCUGGGAAUUGAGACAUAAAACAACAACAACAACAACAACAACAUACAUCUUGUACUCAAGGAGCCUGUGAGUUCAACAGGCAUCAAAUAGCGUUUUACAUUCUGUUUGGGGAUGGAACUGAAAUGAAGCAAGAGAAUCCAUCAGCGGGGUGUUAAUCAAACACCUACCUUGUGCCCUCUACUGU